UUCCUACGGGGCGCAGCAGUCGGGAAUAUUGCGCAAUGGAGGAAACUCUGACGCAGUGACGCCGCGUGAGUGAAGAAGUAUUUCGGUAUGUAAAGCUCUAUCAGCAGGGAAGAAAGAAAUGACGGUACCUGACUAAGAAGCCCCGGCUAACUACGUGCCAGCAGCCGCGGUAAUACGUAGGGGGCAAGCGUUAUCCGGAUUUACUGGGUGUAAAGGGAGCGUAGACGGCGAUGCAAGUCUGAAGUGAAAGGCGGGGGCCCAACCCCCGGACUGCUUUGGAAACUGUAUGGCUGGAGUGCAGGAGG
rnacentral:rRNA from 1 species